AGUUUUUGAUUCAAGGUGGAGAAUGUGGACUUGAGUGCAAUGAAUCCAAAACUCAGAGUCCCAAAACGGUUUGUUUUGAUCAAAUGAUUCAGUCAUUUGUCACGUGCAGCACAUGGCUUUUAAGUUCAAAGGCUAAAUGACUCAGCAUCUGUCGUUUUGGAGAAACAUAAGUGAAGCACGUGAGCCAGCUCGUGAAGAAGGGAAUCAAGGCUGUUAAAAGCCGUUACACACGCGUCCAGAUUCUGUGCAAUCUGGGUUUCAGCAUCAGGGGUAUAAAACUGGUCGCUGAGGGAGAAAUACGUGUGGUUCAGAGAGAGCUUGAGAGAGAGAUCAGAAAGUGAGAGAGUGUAAUCUUGAUGCUUGUAAUCUCUUCUUGAGAAGUUCUGUAUUUGUCUUCUUGAUUCAUCAAUAAAGCUUUUCCUGUGGCUUUUCCCGUGGAUGUAAAUUGUGCAUGUAAUGCACAAUUGAACCACGUAAUAUUCUGUUCUUGUGUGUUGUGAAUUGUUUCUUGUUUAGGUUAAAACACUGAUAUUAAUCAUUAGAUCUAGAGCCUAUUGGGAUUGAGUUGAAUACUAGAUAUCUGAUCUUGGUUUCUU
rnacentral:lncRNA from 1 species